AGCUUUGUGCUGUGGCAGUAUCAUAGUCAAUGAGGUUUAUCCAGGCACGAUUAAUGGAAUUGAAAACUUUUUCCAAUACCCCACUAGGAUGAGGUGAAAUUUAGCUAGCACUGGCAAUUUCUGGCAGUCUCUACGGGGA
rnacentral:snRNA from 1 species